rnacentral:rRNA from 1 species
CCUACGGGAGGCUGCAGUGGGGAAUAUUGCACAAUGGGGGAAACCCUGAUGCAGCGACGCCGCGUGGGUGACGAAGUAUUUCGGUAUGUAAAGCCCUAUCAGCAGGGAAGAAGAUGACAGUACGUGACUAAGAAGCCCCGGCUAACGACGUGCCAGCAGCCGCGGUAAAACGUAGGGGGCAAGCGUUCUCCGGAUUUACUGGGUGUAAAGGGAGCGUAGGUGGCCUGGCAAGCAAGUAGUGAAAACCCGGGGCUUAACCCCGCGGAUUGCUGUUGAAACGGUCAGGCUGGAGUGCAGGAGGGGCCGGCGGACUUCCUGUUGUCGCGGUGCACUGCGUAGAUGUCAGGAGGAACACCGGUGGCGCAGGCGGCCUGCUGGACUGUAACUGCCCCUGCGGCUCG